AAAAUAGUCAUAGAUAUAAGGUUAUUCAAUUCAUUUUGUAAUAAUAUCAAUAUUAACCUCAAAGUUAUUUUUAAGAUAGUUAAAAAUGUAAGAUUGUCUAAUUUAUUUGAAAAUCAUACCAAACUUGAACAUCUGUCAAGGAUAAGAACUUGAUAAAGACAAAUAAACAAGUGACACUUCUCUCAAAGAAAGAUGACAAAAUAGAAAUAACUCAAUAUGUAUAUUAAGAAAGAAACUGGAAUGGUUAUUGUCAAAAGAUAAGAAAACUAGAGACCCUUGAAACUAGACUAGAAGCAAGAAAGGAGUUGAUAAGAGUGAAGAGGGCUUCAUUCUUGUCUUUAUAUAUACUAUCUAAUUAGGGGCUAUGUGGCGAUGUUCUAUAGGAACUCCAAUAUGUGUUGACUUUGUAAGACACAUGCCUUGAUUAACAAGGCAAGUUUUUCUACAUGUCGGCCACAUAAUUAGCUUAGUCUUCAAGUUAACAUGUGUGAUACAUGGCCAAAUUCUUGACCACGUUUUUAAUCCAAAAAAUCAAUUAAAGACACCUUUAAAGUCAAAGUAGAAUCUAUAAAGCUUCUAUAGUAAAUAUUAUAGAAUUAACUUACUUUUAUAUACUUUUACUUACUUCUACUUAUUUACAUAUGUAAUUGCUGGCUUACAUGCAUA
rnacentral:lncRNA from 1 species